ACACAAACCCGCGCUAUCGCUGUUUCACCAUUGGUGAGAAAGAGGAAAGUCCGGACAGCAUAGUGCAACGCACCACCUAACGGGUGGGAUUUCCUCCUGGAAAGACAGCAAGUGCCACAGAAAAUGACCGCCCUGAGCUUGUCGAAGGGUAAGGGUGAAAAUGUGCGGUAAGAGCGCACGAUAGUUAUAGGUAACUAUAGUUAUGGGUAAACCUUGCGUGCUGAAAUGCCCAAUAGGCAAGCGAUCGAGGGCUGCACGUCCGAUGCUUGCGGGUAGGCAGAUGCAGUUUUAUAGUGAUGUAAAGCGUAGAUAAAUGAUAGCGAUGCACCCCCGGGUGCAUACAGAAUCCGGCUUACAGGGUUUGUGUUUUU
rfam:Bacteroidetes bacterium 43-16 scnpilot_expt_750_bf_scaffold_126, whole genome shotgun sequence.